rnacentral:rRNA from 1 species
CGGCAACAGCUCAAAUUUGAAAUCUGGCUCUUUCAGGGUCCGAGUUGUAAUUUGCAGAGGGUGCUUUGGUGUUGGCGGCGGUCUAAGUUCCUUGGAACAGGACAUCGCAGAGGGUGAGAAUCCCGUAUGUGGUCGCCUGCCUUCGCCGUGUAAAGCCCCUUCGAC